UAAUUUCGAGUUUAGGAUGGAAAAUAUAUAUUUUUCAGUUUGGAGCUACAUGGAAAGAAGUUGUGGAAGAUCAAUCGAAUGUAGAUAUUAUUAUUAGAAGGAAACUUCCUGAUGAUAAUAUGGGACAUGUUGAACAACCUACCUUGGAACUUUCGUCAGCCAUGGAGGGUAUUGUUAGAAACCUUCAUCGGGAUAGGGAAUGGUUUAAUGUGGAGAGUUCAUCCUUGAAGGAGGGAAAAAGUUUGGAAGUGGGCUUUAACCGAGGUAUUGGGGUUCUUUGGAAUGGUGGAGUGAUGGAAGAAUUCAAGCUUUCUAGGGGGCUGCGACAAGGGGACCCUCUAUCUCCUUACUUAUUUGUUUUAUGCAAGGAGAGAUUGAGGGCACUUAAUUAAUGAAGCAGUGAGUAAUGGAAGGUGGAAGCCUUUGAUUAUGGCUAGGGGAGGUCUAGCCUUAUCAUAUCUUUUUUUGUUGUUGUUGAUGAUUUCAUGCUUUUUGGGGAAGUGGAUCCAAAGCAAGCUAAAGUGAUUAUUGAUAUUUUGAGUACCUUCUGUCAUUUUUUGGGACAAAAAGUGAAUAAAAAUAAAUCUCAGGUGUUCUUUUCGCCUAAUGUUUCGAAAAUUAUUGCAUCAGAUAUCUGCAUGAAGGUAGGAUAUGGUCGAGUAGAUGACCUGGGAAUCUAUCUUGGACUUCCAAUUAUCCAUAAGAGAGUUGGAACUGACACUUUUAAAUUUUUUUAAUCGAUAAAGUUCGUUGUAGGCUUAAUGGAUGGGAGGCUUAGAAGCUAUCACUGACAAGUAGAAAUACGAUGCUAAGUCAGUGUUGUUAUCAAUUCCUAAUUAUUUUAUGUCUAUAGUUCGCAUUCUUGUAACGGUGUGUGUUCAGAUUGAAAAGCUAGCUCGUAAUUUUGUUUGGAGAUCUUCUUCUGAUGAUAGGAAGUCGGCUCUCUUAAAAUGGGAUGACUACUGUCAUCCGAUUGACGUUAGGGGUUUAGGUAUAAGAAAUCUAGCUAUUUAGAAAAAGUUAUUUCUUUUGAAACUUGGUUUCCUUUUGUUAACCAAGAUUGAUGACUUAUGGGUUAGGGUUGUAAGGAGUAAGUACAAGAUUUGUGGGGUGCUUCCGAAUUCUAUUGCUAGGAGUAAUUGCUCCUAUAAAUGGGGGGUCCUUAAUGCGAGUUUGGCAAGAUGUGGUGGAUAAUGUUUAUUAGACUACUGGAAAUGAAUAUCUGAUGAAUUUUUGGAACGAUAAUUGGAUUCCUCAAGUGGGUCCUCUAAGGAAUUUCUAUAUGGGAUCCGAGCAGUUAGAUGAAACUUUAUGAGUCUACGAUUUAGUUGAUAAAUUUGGGAACUGGGAUUGGACUCAUCUUAAAAAUUUCCUACCAGAUUUAAUUGUGAUGCAAAUAGCCUUGGUAUUGCCUCUUUAGCUGGGUACAGGGAAUGAUUGACUAUUGUGGAGAUGAGCGACUAGAAAUUCCUUUUCCAUGGGAGAUACAUAUAAAAGGUAUGUACCAAUCUUAGUUGACAAAUAAUUCUAACAUUUGGAAAUUGUUUUGGAAAGCCAAGGUACCGCAGCGGGUUAGAGUGUUCAUUUGGCUAUUAUGGAAGAACAAACUUUUGACGAGUGAGAGAGUUAGGAGACAUAUGUCUUGUGAAAGUAAUUUUUUGAGAUAAAAUUUUACUAAUGAAUUUAAGUUACAUGCUGUCAAAGAUUGUUCAUUCCUAUGGGCAGUUUGGAAUUCGAUUGUACCACCGUAAAAACAUGUAUUAUUUUUCUCCCUAACUUUUGAUAAAUGGAUUAUCUGGAACUUGCAAAA